GCGGCCAUAGCUCAGUUCGUGAGAGCGCCGGAGUACUAAUCUUGGAAGUCGCGGGUUGGAAUCCCGCUGACAGUC
rnacentral:tRNA from 1 species